rnacentral:rRNA from 1 species
GUGUAGUCUUUAGUGGGCGGACGGGUGGAGGUAACGACGUGGGUAACCUGCCAUAGUACAGGGGGAGUAACACUUAGAAAUAGGUGCUAUACCGCAUAAGCGCACAUGGCCGCAUGGCCAGGUGUGAAAACUCCGGUGGUAUAUGAUGGACCCGCGUCUGAUUAGCUAGUUGGUGAGGUAACGGGCCCACCAAGGCGACGAUCAGUAGCCGGCCUGAGAGGGUGGACGGCCACAUCGGGACUGAGACACGGCCCAAACUCCUACGGGAGGCAGCAGUGGGGGAUAUUGGACAAUGGGGGGAACCCUGAUCCAGCGACGCCGCGUGAGUGAAGAAGUAUCUCGGUAUGUAAAGCUCUAUCAGCAGGGAAGAAAGAAAUGACGGUACCUGAGUAAGAAGCCCCGGCUAACUACGUG